UGGGGAAUUUUCCACAAUGGGCGAAAGCCUGAUGGAGCAACGCCGCGUGUGUGAUGAAGGUUUUCGGAUCGUAAAGCACUUUCGACCGGGACGAAAAACCUCUGGCUAACAUCCAGGGGCCUGACGGUACCGGGAGAAGAAGCACCGGCUAACUCUGUGCCAGCAGCCGCGGUAAUACAGAGGGUGCAAGCGUUGUUCGGAAUUAUUGGGCGUAAAGCGCGUGUAGGCGGCUUUGCAAGUCAGAUGUGAAAGCCCUCGGCUUAACCGAGGAAGUGCGUCUGAAACUGCAGAGCUUGAGUGUCGGAGAGGAUGGCGGAAUUCCGCAAGUAGAGGUGAAAUUCGUAGAUAUGCGGAGGAACACCGGUGGCGAAGGCGGCCAUCUGGACGACUACUGACGCUGAGACGCGAAAGCGUGGGGAGCAAACAGGAUUAGAUACCCUGGUAGUCCACGCUGUAAACGAUGAGAACUAGGUGUCGUGGGUGUUGACCCCCGCGGUGCCGCAGCUAACGCAUUAAGUUCUCCGCCUGGGAAGUACGGCCGCAAGGCUAA
rnacentral:rRNA from 1 species